rnacentral:rRNA from 1 species
GAUGAACGCUGGCGGCGUGCCUAAUACAUGCAAGUCGAGCGAACAGACGAGGAGCUUACUCCUCUGACGUUAGCGGCGGACGGGUGAGUAACACGUGGAUAACCUACCUAUAAGACUGGGAUAACUUCGGGAAACCGGAGCUAAUACCGGAUAACAUGUUGAACCGCAUGGUUCAACAGUGAAAGACGGUCUUGCUGUCACUUAUAGAUGGAUCCGCGUCGCAUUAGCUAGUUGGUAAGGUAACGGCUUACCAAGGCAACGAUGCGUAGCCGACCUGAGAGGGUGAUCGGCCACACUGGAACUGAGACACGGUCCAGACUCCUACGGGAGGCAGCAGUAGGGAAUCUUCCGCAAUGGGCGAAAGCCUGACGGAGCAACGCCGCGUGAGUGAAGAAGGUCUUCGGAUCGUAAAACUCUGUUAUUAGGGAAGAACAAAUGUGUAAGUAACUAUGCACGUCUUGACGGUACCUAAUCAGAAAGCCACGGCUAACUACGUGCCAGCAGCCGCGGUAAUACGUAGGUGGCAAGCGUUAUCCGGAAUUAUUGGGCGUAAAGCGCGCGUAGGCGGUUUUUUAAGUCUGAUGUGAAUGCCCACGGCUCAACCGUGGAGGGUCAUUGGAAACUGGAAAACUUGAGUGCAGAAGAGGAAAGUGGAAUUCCAUGUGUAGCGGUGAAAUGCGCAGAGAUAUGGAGGAACACCAGUGGCGAAGGCGACUUUCUGGUCUGUAACUGACGCUGAUGUGCGAAAGCGUGGGGAUCAAACAGGAUUAGAUACCCUGGUAGUCCACGCCGUAAACGAUGAGUGCUAAGUGUUAGGGGGUUUCCGCCCCUUAGUGCUGCAGCUAACGCAUUAAGCACUCCGCCUGGGGAGUACGACCGCAAGGUUGAAACUCAAAGGAAUUGACGGGGACCCGCACAAGCGGUGGAGCAUGUGGUUUAAUUCGAAGCAACGCGAAGAACCUUACCAAAUCUUGACAUCCUCUGACCCCUCUAGAGAUAGAGUUUUCCCCUUCGGGGGACAGAGUGACAGGUGGUGCAUGGUUGUCGUCAGCUCGUGUCGUGAGAUGUUGGGUUAAGUCCCGCAACGAGCGCAACCCUUAAGCUUAGUUGCCAUCAUUAAGUUGGGCACUCUAAGUUGACUGCCGGUGACAAACCGGAGGAAGGUGGGGAUGACGUCAAAUCAUCAUGCCCCUUAUGAUUUGGGCUACACACGUGCUACAAUGGACAAUACAAAGGGUAGCGAAACCGCGAGGUCAAGCAAAUCCCAUAAAGUUGUUCUCAGUUCGGAUUGUAGUCUGCAACUCGACUACAUGAAGCUGGAAUCGCUAGUAAUCGUAGAUCAGCAUGCUACGGUGAAUACGUUCCCGGGUCU